rnacentral:misc_RNA from 1 species
UCCGGUUUGUCACCGGCAGUCUCACUAGAGUGCCCUUUCGUAGCAACUAGUGACAAGGGUUGCGCUCGUUGCGGGACUUAACCCAACAUCUCACGACACGAGCUGACGACAGCCAUGCAGCACCUGUGUCCAGGCUCCCUUUCGGGCACACCGAACUCUCAUCCGGCUUCCUGGCAUGUCAAGGGUAGGUAAGGUUCUUCGCGUUGCAUCGAAUUAAUCCACAUCAUCCACCGCUUGUGCGGGUCCCCGUCAAUUCCUUUGAGUUUUAACCUUGCGGCCGUACUCCCCAGGCGGUCAACUUCACGCGUUAGCUUCGUUACUGAGUACUAAUGCACCCAACAUCUAGUAUUCAUCGUUUAAGGUGUGGACUAC